rnacentral:rRNA from 1 species
UACGACUACAUAUCAGGCAUAUCAAUAAGCGGAGGAAAAGAAACUAACAAGGAUUCCCUUAGUAACGGCGAGUGAAGCGGGAAGAGCUCAAAUUUGAAAUCUUCAAGGUUCUACCUUGACGAAUUGUAGUUUAAAGAAGUGUUUUCUGUUAGAGGAGUAGCAAAAGUUCCUUGGAAUGGGACAUCAUAGGAGGGUGAGAAUCCCGUAUUUGGUUAUUCUUUCUAGCUUUGUGAUACACUUUCAAAGAGUCGGAUUGUUUGGGAAUGCAGUCCAAAAUGGGUGGUAAAUUUCAUCUAAAGCUAAAUAUUGGCGAGAGACCGAUAGCGAACAAGUACCGUGAGGGAAAGAUGAAAAGAACUUUGAAAAGAGAGUUAAACAGUACGUGAAAUUGUCAAAAGGGAAGCGUUUGACACCAGUGUUGUUUAGUUGAAAAUCAAUUCAAUAGUUUUUGAUUCUAAGUAGUAUUGACUUCAUCAGCUUGCUGCUUUCUUCUCAGAAAUUAUUGAAUGCACUUUUCAGUUAACAAGUCAACAUCAAUUUCUUUUGUUGUAAAAGGUUAAGAGGAAGGUGGCUUUACUUUCGGGUAAAGUGCUUAUAGCCUUUUAACUCUGCAAUCGGAGAGAUUGAGGUCUGCAGCGUAGAUCCUUCGGGGCUAGAUACGUUUGUGCUAAGUUAUGGCUUUUCAUAGACAACUUGUUGACUAUGUUUAGUCUUGUAGCUUACUCGCAGAUGCUAUUUUACCUACGCUUAGGAUGUUGAUCUACAGAGCGAGAGU